UACGGGGGGAGCAAGCGUUGUUCGGAUUUACUGGGCGUAAAGGGCGCGUAGGCGGUCGUGACAAGUCACUUGUGAAAUCUCCGGGCUUAACUCGGAACGGUCAAGUGAUACUGUCGGGCUAGAGUACAGAAGGGGCAACUGGAAUUCUCGGUGUAGCGGUGAAAUGCGUAGAUAUCUGGAGGAAUACCGGUGGCGAAGGCGGCGUUCUGGACUGCAACUGACACUGAUGAACGAAAGCCAGGGGAGCAAACGGG
rnacentral:rRNA from 1 species